rnacentral:rRNA from 1 species
GGCUCAGAAUGAACGCUAGUAGUAUGCUUAACACAUGCAAGUCGAACGGGAAUUUUAUUCUCGUGGCGCACGGGUGAGUAAACGCAGAAUUUUCCCUUUCAGUUCAGAACAACGUUACUUUUAGUAAUUAAAUCCUGAAUAUUUUUAAAGGUUUAUUCCGCUGAAAGAUAAAUCUGCUUAAGAUUAGGUUGUUGGUAAUUUAAAAGCUUACCAAGCCAAUGAUCUUUAGUUGGUCUGAGAGGACGAUCAACCACACUGGAACUGAAACAAGGUCCAGGCUAAUUCGUUGGCCAGCAGUGAGGAAUAUUGGAGUCAAUGAACGAAAGUUUGAUCCAGCAAUACUAACUGGGUGACGACGGCUUAUUAAGUUGUAAGAUCCUUUAAUUAAAGAAGAUAAUGACAUUAUUUAAUUGAAUUAGUCCUGGCUAAUACUCGUGCCAGCAGCCGCGGUAAUACGGGAAGGGCAAGCGUUAUUCGGCAUGAUUGGGCGUAAAGGGUCCGUAGACGGUAAAGUAAGUUUUUUGUUAAAUUUUAAGACUCAAUCUUAACAUGGCAAUUAAUACUAUUUUACUGCGAGUUUAAUACAGAAAAGUAGAAUUUUAUACGAUAGAGGUGAAAUUCGCAAAUAUAUAAAGGAAUGCCAAUAGCGAAGGCAACUUUUUGGUAUAAACUGACGUUGAGGGACGAAAGCGUGGGUAGCAAACGGGAUUAGAGACCCCGGUAGUCCACGCCGUAAAUUCUGAGUGCUGUAAUUUAAUUGUAAUAUUUUUUAAAUAUUAUUUAGAUUUUCAAGCUAACGCAAUAAGCACUCCGCCU